GAGGGGUACUGUGGCUCAUCCUCCACGAUGGAAUCGUAUAUAAAGUCCCUGUCGUAUCCGGUGAAAGGUCUCUGAAAUGAUUCAUGGGCUUUUAAAUGGGGAUCACUGGCCCCAUCUAAAAAGCAAAAGCCUCCUCUACUGUCAUCUCUUCAGCCUGAGAAUCCUCUGGAAUGGGGCUGUAAUCGCCGGG